UACAGAGGGUGCGAGCGUUGUCCGGAAUCACUGGGCGUAAAGGGCGCGUAGGCGGCCUGAUAAGUAGGGGGUGAAAUCCUGUGGCUUAACUGCAAGGCUGCCUCCUAGACUGUUAGGCUCGAGCACGGUAGAGGCAGAUGGAAUUCCCGGUGUAGCGGUGGAAUGCGUAGAGAUCGGGAAGAACAUCGGUGGCGAAGGCGGUCUGCUGGGCCGUUGCUGACGCUGAGGCGCGACAGCGUGGGGAGCAAACAGG
rnacentral:rRNA from 1 species